ACCAGUCGGCCUCCUCCCUUUCCUCCUCUCUCCUUCUCGUCCUCCCUAAGUUGGGUGGCGACACUAUUCCCCACCCCUGCCUUGCCUCACCUCCUUUGAGCUGGAUACAUCGUCAACCCCACCCACCGCUAUCCUUCAUCCAUGUGACUUCAGUGACACCCCCCGUCCACUGCCGUCACCCAAAGCCAUCCCUCUAAACCCCAGGGAAUCCCCUCCCACCUCUGCCCCCACCCCAGCGCUAAACUCUAACCUCAUAGCCAUCUCAUUAUUGUCAUCGAAGAAGAGCACAUCAUCGCCGGGAAGUCACCAUCACAAGUGGGUCGUAUUUUUUCUCCCCACCCUACCCCAGCACACAAAUCAACUCUUGAAGACAACUCCCUAUCGGUCAGGGAGCAUGUGAGGUCUCACCUUAUAACUAGCAAAUCGCUUUGUCAAAUUACAUCUUACAUUUUACAUUUUAUAUAGAGGAAAGGCACAUACCUGACUGUUUUUAUAUAGAGGAAAGGCACAUACAUGACUGUGUUUCCUAAAUUCUGAUCAUUUUUAUAUCAACUAUAGAUAGACAAUUUUACUCCAAUUAAUUUGUCUUGUCCAAUGAACAUGGACACUUGUUCAGGUUCUUAUCCAGGUUCAUUGUUUUAGUGUUUUAGGACAUGUCACAUUCUAUCCAGUUUUUUUUUAACCGAGGAGUAAUUUAAACGUAACUUGUGCAGUGAAGCAAGCGGUCAGUGCUGCAAUCGGCUGAGCAGCAGGUCUCUUCCCUGAUAGCACGAAUUUCAAAGCAUAUCGGAUGGCAAAAAAAAUAAAAAAAAUCUAGCCCUAUUUACAGUAGGUACAAUAGCAGACUAUAAGCCAUCUAUAAAUAAAUUUCGAGGAGAUAAAAGAAAAGAGUGAAGAGCAGCGAGCGAGCUACAAAUUUGUAGCCAGCUGUAGCACGGACUCCAAGAUGCAAUGUGUAUAUGACAGGUGAGAGUAGAUAUCUAUUAACUUAUUAAAGGAAUAGAAAAAUGAGCCUCUACGUUCGCUCUCACGGCCUAGAAAUUAUCAUAUUAAUCGGAAAAAAAGAAAAAUAGAGUCCAUAUAGAAAUACAAUUUAGAAAUAGUUGAAAUUCGGAAUUAAAAAAUAAAGAAUAUUGGAAGAGGUGACUACAGUCCAUAUAGAAAUACAAUUUAGAAAUAACUGAAAUUCGGAAUUAAAAAAAAAGAAUAUUAGAAGAAGAGUAUAGAGUCCAUAUAGAAAUACAAUUAAGAAAUAAUAGAAAUUCGGAAUUAAAAAUAAUGAAUAUUAGAAGUAGAGUAUAGAGUACAUAUAGGAAUAUAAAACUAACUAAAAUUCAUAAUAAACAUAAUAAAAUUAAAAGUAGAGUUUAGAGUCCGUAUAAAAAUGCAAUUUACAAAUAAAUAAAAUUCAAAAUAAAAAAACAUGGGAAGAAGAGUUUAAAAUCAAUAUAGGAAUAGUAACUAGAAUUUGAAAUCAAAAAUUAAAGAAUAUUGAAAGAUAAGUUUAGAGUUAACUUAGAAAUACAAUUAAAAAUAAUAAAAAUUUAGAAUUAAAAAUAAGUAAUAUUGGAAGAAGAGCCUAGAGUCUAUAUAGAAAUACAAUUCACAGAUAACAAAAAUUCGGAAUUAAAAAAAAGAAAUAUUGAAAGAAAAGUCUAGAGUCCAUAUAGGAAUAUAAUUUAGAAAUAAAUAAAAUUUUAUAUUAAAAAUAAUUAAUAACUAACACGUAUAUAAAAUACAAUAUAAACAUUACACAUUAAUAGUUUCGUAAAGUUAGUACAAAAUUUUAAAUUAUGUUAUAAUUUUAAUAUAUUUUAAUAAUAAAUUCAGAAAACAUAUAUGCUAUUAUAUGAGAUAAAAUAUAAUUAUAUUAGCUGCGCAAUCUACGCGGCCACUAUGCUAGUUAAUAGUGUAGUAUAUGUUUAUAGGUAACUAUCAUAUAAAUUGGCCAUUAAUUUGUCUAUAGAUAAUUUGAAGCUAGUAGCGAGCUAUACUAUUAAACUUGCACUUAGGUUGUGUUUAGAUCCAAGGUUGAAAAUUUUUACUGUGUCACAUCGGAUAUACGGACAUACAUUGUCUAAUAACAAAAUAAAUUACAGAAUUCAUCAAUAAACCGCGAGACGAAUUUAUUAAGCCUAAUUAAUCUAUCAUUAGCAAAUAUUUACUGCAACACCACAUUGUCAAAUUAUAGAGCAAUUAGGCUUAAAAGAUUCGUCUCGCAAAUUAGUCACAAUUUGUGUAAUUAGUUAUUUUUAGCCAAUAUUUAAUAUUUAAUGCAGAUGUUCUGUGACAGGGUGGAAAAUUUUAGGGUGGAUCUAAAACAGGGUUUUAUUCUCGACGGUACAAUACCAAAUCCGUCUAUUAUAUUCGCGCGAAUAUGCUCGGCCAGUCCACCUGUCACGCGAGGCAUGAGAAGGGCGACCGAGCCGGGUGGAGCUGAGCGAGUGGUGGUGCUGCUGCAGCCGCCGCCGCCGCCGCCUGCAGGCGUGCUGAAAACAAGUCCAUGCCAUGGUGGACGAGAACACUGUGGACGUGGUCAGCCAUGGAUGGUGGCGAUUUGGACAGCCUCGCGACCACGACAUAUACUAGUAGUACUCACAUAUAUACGACGACUAGCCAAAGGUGAUUGCUUUAAUCAAACACCGGCGAUGUUCGCGUUCCUCUGGAAGUUGGUGCAGUUUCUCUCCUCCUCCUCCUCUUCUUUUUUAAUUUUUCGUCCCUAAAGAACAGAAGAAGUCUCAUGUCUAAAGUGAUACUCUUCGAGUCUUGACGGCCAGAAUUGUCAGACUGUGUGAUCCAGAAGCAAGCUAAAGAAAGGGAGUAUACGGUCCAGAAACACGUUAAUAAAGGGAAAGGAAAAGGGUUGUCUAUUCUUGCUUCAGUCUGACUGUGCUUGCCGUGUCCGUCGCAUUGCCGUCGUGGUCAAACAAACGCCCCAAUGGAAGCUGUAAACCUCAUUCAGUCAACAAAUAAUGUGAGAUCAGAACUGGCUCACCUGAUUCGGGAGAUAUGAGUUGAUCUCAGG
rnacentral:lncRNA from 1 species